rnacentral:miRNA from 1 species
AUGCGCACACAGUCAACUG